GGUGAGAUGGAGGCUUUUCUUUUCCUUUCUUGGGGUUUUUUGUUUUUCUCCCUCUUGCAGGGGGAAACAAUGGGAACCGAAUCACCACAGCGCUUUUUUUGAAAAAUGUUAUUUCUUUUCUCAUUUUGACAAGCAACUACAUGGCGGAGGAGUAAAAUUUGAAGGAGCGUUGUUAUCGAAAGUGUAAUCGCCCAUGCCGAGAUGUGGCUGUGUACAUAUUGUGUGUGUGUGUGUGUGAAUAUAGGGGUAUUCAUUUAUAUCCACACAAACACACAGGCAUGCCGAAAAUACUGCCAACUGAUCCAAAAGCGGCCCUCGGCACUUUUUACUGCUUUAAAAAAGUAUCAGAGAAAGCAGAAUUGUCAAGUUUUGAACAGCAUUCCAUGCCUUCUUGUUGAGGGGACUCUGUAACAUUACAAAAUAAAAUGUCCCAAGAACA
rnacentral:sRNA from 1 species